GGUGUAUAGCCCAUGUGCUGAAUCUAGAGACCUCGAACUUGUCUAUGCGUAAUGCAGCAUUGUAGGACUGUCGAAGCUGUUAGCUUCUCUUACUCAAGAAUCGCAGACAUUCAAAUAAAUAAAAUAACGGAAAGACAAAAGUCUAGAGCAGGUUUUAGUUAUUUCCCCAGUCACUUAAAAAGUUAGUACAUGUAUUUUCUGAGCCAUAAAAAAAAUUUCUAAUGCUUAGUUAGCAUUAGUGACCAACUAUUAUUCUCCUGUGAUUUACCAGAUGAACAGAGCAAUAAUGUGACGCAAACUCAGGGACUUCUUGACUAGGGACAGUUGAAGGGUAUGGGUACGAUCGAUCCCUUUCUCUUAAUAUGGCCGCCAGGAGCUAAGACGUAUUGGGUGUUUCCUGAAACAAGCGUAAUUUGAUAUGGUGUGGAUAGACCAUUAUAGAAACCAAACACAAUGUUUCCGAGAUGGUAGUAACAUGGUUUAAUACCGAGUACUUACUUGAGAAAGCAGUCCUUUUCAUUUCUCAUUUGUGGACAAAUAAAAAAAUGCAAAAUGUUUCGGUCUCCUUUUUGAGUUCUAUGCAUGUGACUUGAUGACUAUAUUAGGUAGCCCUCAUGCAGCCUAUGGUGUCUUAACAACAUGGAUGAAACAGUGGCCCUUGAUCUUCGGUCUCGAAAAUGUGAAACACAAACUGUGAGGACCAAAUAGGCAAAAUAAGAAACACUACCAACUUUAACCGAGAAGUCCAGACUAUGGAUACAAAUGGUUAAUUUAUACUUCUGUAAGGUUUUGUUAAUAAAUAAAUUGGAUUCACUAUGA